rnacentral:rRNA from 1 species
CAGUCGCCACGGUAAUACAGAGGUCUCAAGCGUUGUUCGGAUUUAUUGGGCGUAAAGGGUGCGUAGGUGGCGGUGUAAGUCUAACGUGAAAUCUCGGGGCUCAACCUCGAAAUUGCGUCGGAUACUGCAUUGCUAGAGGAUUGUAGAGGAGAGUGGAAUUCAUGGUGUAGCAGUGAAAUGCGUAGAUAUCAUGAGGAAGACCAGUUGCGAAGGCGACUCUCUGGGCAAUUCCUGACACUGAGGCACGAAGGCUAGGGGAGCAAACGGGAUUAGAUACCCCGGUAGUCCCUGUCUCUUAUAU